rnacentral:lncRNA from 1 species
GCCGAACAAGGCCGGGUCCCUGCCGCCGGCGGAGGCUGUCCGGAGGCCAUCGCAGCAGUCACCUGGUCCCCGCGCGUGUCGCCCGCGCUCGGCGUGGCCUCCCGGAGGGAAGCUCUUCUUCCUGUGUGGUUUCCAUCAUUAACCUUUCUACCAGGGAGCAUUCCCUAACACAUCCAAAGUUCAAGUCCAGACCCAAGACAGCAAGGUUCAGAAAGAGGUCAAGAUGGGGUUUAUAUUUUCAAAAUCCAUUAAUGAAAACAUGAAAAAUCAAAAAGAGUUCAUGCUUAUGAAUGCUAAACUUCAGGUAUGUUUUGAAAUAAUUAAGCUGUUAUGUUAUUGCAGUGGUUAAAGUUCUACUACAUGUACUUUAGCAGUAUGUUCUCUGUAACACCCCCACCCCCAAAUGAAAUGCCUCAUCUUUAAAGACAAGAUGAAAUGAAUUACUAAUUAUCUGGUGAAUGGUCUUGUUUAAGUAUCCAAUCCAGAUACUCAUCAAAAUUUCCACCCUACGGGAAGAGAUAAUUGCUUAAAGUAUAUUAUAGACAGAAUAAUACUCCCCCGAUACAUUCAUGUCUU